rnacentral:lncRNA from 1 species
GUCCACAUCAGGUGGUGCUAUAUCUUCCAAACAACAAUAGACAAUAUACAAGCUCUGAUAUAGCAGUGUACUAAAGCAAUCUAAUACUUCUGUAACGACAAGUCUCACUUUCGUGUUAUACCGAUUCCUAUGACAGAGGGAUCAACCAUCUCUUUUGUUUUUUCCGUC